GUAGGGGGGGCGAGCGUUGUCCGGAUUUAUUGGGCGUAAAGGGCUCGUAGGGCGGCUUAGCAAGUCGACCGUGAAAACCCAGGGGCUCAACCCUGGGACGCCGGUCGAAACUGCUAUGGCUAGGGUCCGGUAGAGGUGAGUGGAAUUCUCGGUGUAGCGGUGAAAUGCGCAGAUAUCGAGAGGAACACCAUUAGCGAAGGCGGCUCACUGGGCCGGUACCGACGCUGAGGAGCGAAAGCGUGGGGAGCAAACAGGAUUAGAUACCCUGGUAGUCCACGCCGUAAACGUUGAACACUAGGUGUGGCGGACUUAUCCACGUCCGCCGUGCCGCAGCUAACGCAUUAAGUGUUCCGCCUGGGGAGUACGGCCGCAAGGCUA
rnacentral:rRNA from 1 species